CGUCUUCUUUUCCACCUCUUUCUGCUCUUCCUCCUCAUCUUCCUCCUCAUCCCCCUCCUCCUUCUCUUCCUCCUCCUUCCCCUCCCCCUUGCACACUGUCUUCUUCCCCAAGUUAUCAGAAGCAGUAGUGGAUAGAUCUGUGGCGCACGUCGAUCAGGUGGCGCGAAGUUAUGUCCAGGGCCUGUGAGGUGGCUGGCAACAAGCGUGUCUGGCCUCCUGACGGACUGACGGGCUGCCCGGCUGACGUGGAGUGCCGCCCCGACGUUCUCCCUUUUUCGGCAAGUUGGUGGUCAGGGCCACACACCCACACCCUCCUGGUGCCUCUGCUGCCGCGCCGGU